rnacentral:rRNA from 1 species
GACGAACGCUGGCGGCGUGCUUAACACAUGCAAGUCGAACGGAAAGGCCCUGCUUUUGUGGGGUGCUCGAGUGGCGAACGGGUGAGUAACACGUGAGUAACCUGCCCUUGACUUUGGGAUAACUUCAGGAAACUGGGGCUAAUACCGGAUAGGAGCUCCUGCUGCAUGGUGGGGGUUGGAAAGUUUCGGCGGUUGGGGAUGGACUCGCGGCUUAUCAGCUUGUUGGUGGGGUAGUGGCUUACCAAGGCUUUGACGGGUAGCCGGCCUGAGAGGGUGACCGGCCACAUUGGGACUGAGGUACGGCCCAGACUCCUACGGGAGGCAGCAGUGGGGAAUAUUGCACAAGGGGCGGAAGCCUGAUGCAGCAACGCCGCGUGCGGGAUGACGGCCUUCGGGUUGUAAACCGCUUUCGCCUGUGACGAAGCGUGAGUGACGGUAAUGGGUAAAGAAGCACCGGCUAACUACGUG